rnacentral:lncRNA from 1 species
AAUGAAAUUAUCAGUAUUCUAAUAAAUUCGUUCACUUUUAUAAUUUUCAUCUCGUUUCAAGAUACAGAGUCGAUUCGAUUUAAACCCUCGAUGGAAACUAGGUUAGUGGCAGGAAGAUAAAAGCCGCAGCUUGUGUCACUAUCACUCUAACUUUUUCUGAGCGCCAUACGCCCUAAUCCAAUCAGCGCGAUUCGGAUCACAUGCCCGGUUGCAGAAAGUGUUGUACCCUCGACGCUUGGCACAUGCGAAUAAUUACUGCUUCUUGUCAUCAAUUCUGGCAAAACAU